ensembl:lncRNA
AGCUGAAGAGAAUCCUCUGGAAAAGUACAUGAAGAUGGUGCUGGAAGCAAGAGAGACACAACAGGCAAGUCCUGAACAAGAAGCCAAUCCCCUAAACUUUGAAGAUAAAAGUCUGUCGGAAGCGAAAGAUGAAAGCAUUGCAGCAUAUUCUCACAAGGAUGAAGACGAUGAUUUCUGGUAGUAUUUUUUUUAUGGCUUGUUAUUUUAGAAAUUGUAAACACCUGUUUUAAUUGCAUGUUGAUGCUUUGCUAUAUAAUUAUAAGAAUAAACACAAGACACACAAUUUUUCCUUUGUUUUUUUUUUUUUCAUAGAAAAUGGAAGACAGACUUAACACAAAAAUGUUUCCAGUCAUAAUUGCCUCAGGAUUGGGUCUGCCUAAUGAUUGAACAGCAGCCUUAUUCUUUACAUUUGGUUUAUUCAACAAGAUGCAGUGCUGGGGUCACAACAGCUUAUUUGUGCUACAUAGUGUAGCUUAACAGGAAUGAAAGGGCAAUGGCAUUUUUACUUUGGCUAAAAUAAUAAUGGAGAUUGUGAAUCAUAAGAUUAAUUUGUUCCUACAUGUAAAUUGUUAUCUACACUGCUAGAGUUUAGUUGUUUGUUUUUUUUAUUUGUUUUUUUACACAAUAGAAACCAAAAAAGG